GAGAGCAGAAUUUGGGCAGCAGUGGUCCUCAUCCAGUGUUUCUACAGUGCUAGCAGGAAAAGGCAGUGCCACCACUAUUGAGUUGGGGGAGACCUGGCCUGCUCCUUCCUUUGGCCUUCCUUUCCGUGACUGGACAAACAAAAAGCAACUUACCUUUGCAGAGUCAUAUUCAAAGAGCCUGUACAACCCUUAAUCUUAUUCUGGGCUUCAAGAUGAGUCAUUCCUUGUGCAUUUAUUCCAUCAAUGCUGAGAACCACAUCGCCUAU